GUUCCUCUAAAUCAAAAGAAGCAGACCAUAAGUAGGUGAGGAAAACGAACGCCUAAAAAUAGUGAGAGACCGCCCCCAUCGUUCUGAUCCUCUCAAAAAAUUGGAAACCCAGCAAUGACAAACGACCUCCCAUCUCCGGCGAGCUUCACCUUCACUCACACACAUACGCACUCAUGAAAGAAUGAGUAAAAAAAGUGCACUUCAGAUUUGUCCUGCUUCAUCUCUGCCUCAAAUUCGAAAAAAUCAAAAGUAAUAUAGGUUCGAGCCUGACUAAGAGCUGACAUCCGCUUGAGGUCUCGUUUGAUUUUGUUUGAGUUCGCCGUUGUUUGUCGUCCAGAUUUGGUUCGCUCGAUUUCUGUCCAUUUCCGAUUUCGGCCACAGCAGUUGGUUCGUCCUGCUUGUUAAUUUUGCUUGAAAUUUCAGUCAUGUCAGAGCUCUAAUUUUCGGAUCCGGGUGGGUUCUACAGUUUCCGGUGAGAUUGCCAGUCGAGGUUGGAGAUUUCCGGCGAGGUUUCCGGUCAUAUUUGGGUUCCGUCGAGGCUUUUCGAACUCCGUUCGACGGGCUUUUCUCCUCUGAUUUGUAGCUGGCAUUUUCCUUCUGUAAUUCGAUAUAGUGAAGAAAGGUUUUGAUCUCAACGAUUUUUGGCAACGAGCAUGCUGAAUUAGAACUGUGGGAAAUUCAAUGAAUCAACUGAUCCAUUGAUCAGGUGAGUUGAAUUUUCCAUUGUCUUUAUAUAUAUGUGAUCAUGGAUUCCAUUCAGAUUCUCGUUUUUUCUUCUUUUUAAUAUUACAAAUAUGGGUAUUAGAAAAUUUAGUGAAUUCUGGAUAGAUUAAAAGAAUUGAUUAAUUGGGUUCUGUGUUUGGAUUGAAAUGCCAACAAAUUGAUGUAUUGAGAAUUGUUAUGUAAAUGGGGGUGAUUUCUUC
rnacentral:lncRNA from 1 species